rnacentral:rRNA from 1 species
GGUUCGAUCAUGGCUCAGAUUGAACGCUGGCGGGAUGCUUUACAUGCAAGUCGAACGGCAGCACGGACUUCGGUCUGGUGGCGAGUGGCGAACGGGUGAGUAAUGUAUCGGAACGUGCCUAGUAGCGGGGGAUAACUACGCGAAAGCGUAGCUAAUACCGCAUACGCCCUUCGGGGAAAAGCGGGGACCUUCGGGCCUCGCACUAUUAGAGCGGCCGAUAUCGGAUUAGCUAGUUGGUGGGGUAACGGCUCACCAAGGCGACGAUCCGUAGCUGGUUUGAGAGGACGACCGGCCACACUGGGACUGAGACACGGCCCAGACUCCUACGGGAGGCAGCAGUGGGAAUUUUGGACAAUGGGGAAACCCUGAUCCAGCCAUCCCGCGUGUGCGAUGAAGGCCUUCGGGUUGUAAGCACUUUUGGCAGGAAAGAAACGCGGCACGGGAUAAUACCCCGUGCAACUGACAGUACCUGCAGAAUAAGCACCAGCUAACUACGUGCCAGCAGCCGUGGCUGGCUGCGUAGGGUGCAAGCGUUAAUCGGAAUUACUAGGCGUAAAGCGUCGCAGGCGGUUCGGAAAGAAGAUGUGAAAUCGAGCUUAACUUUGGAACUGCAUUUUUAACUACCGAGCUAGAAGUGUGUCAGAGGGAGGUGGAAUUCCGCGUGUGAACAGUGAAAUGCGUAGAUAUGCGGAGGAACACCGAUGGCGAAGGCAGCCUCUGGGAUAACACUGACGCUCAUGCACGAAAGCGUGGGAGCAAACAGGAUUAGAUACCCUGGUAGUCCACGCCUAAACGAUAAUCAACUAGCUGUUGGGGCCUUCGGGCCUUGGUAAAGCGCAGCUAACGCGUGAAGUUGACCGCCUGGGAAGUACGGUCGCAAGAUUAAAACUCAAAGGAAUUGACGGGGACCGCACAAGCGGUGGAUGAUGUGGAUUAAUUCGAUGCAACGCGAAAAACCUUACCUACCCUUGACAUGUCUGGAAUCCCGAAGAAGAUUUGGGAGUGCUCGCAAAGAGAACCGGAACACAGGUGCUGCAUGGCUGUCGUCAGCUCGUGUCGUGAGAUGUUGGGUUAAGUCCCGCAACGAGCGCAACCCUUGUCAUUAGUUGCUACGAAAGGGCACUCUAAUGAGACUGCCGGUGACAAACCGGAGGAAGGUGGGGAUGACGUCAAGUCCUCAUGGCCCUUAUGGGUAGGGCUUCACACGUCAUACAAUGGUCGGGACAGAGGGGUCGCCAACCCGCGAGGAGCCAAUCCCAGAAACCCGAUCGUAGUCCGGAUCGCAGUCUGCAACUCGACUGCGUGAAGUCGGAAUCGCUAGUAAUCGCGGAUCAGCAUGUCGCGGUAGAAUACAGUUCCCGGGUCUUGUACACACCGCCCGUCACACCAUGGGAGUGGGUUUUACCAAAGAAGUAGUUAGCCUAACCGUAAGGAGGGCGAUUACCACGGUAGGAUUCAUGACUGGGGGUGAAGUCGUAACAAGGUAG